UGGCUAUGUGGGCUUCACCUAUUCUUCUUUACUUAUUCUUCUUUACAACACUUAGAUAUUUCUUCAUGUAUUUUUCCUGAGAAGCAUUAACAAUUCUGCAUCCAUACUCCACAUCCUUUUGAAAACUCAUUCCUCAACGGCUAUGACUGUACUUUCAAGUAUGCGAACCCAUGGGCUACUCUUUCAAAAUCCAACUCCGAGAAACUUCAGAACCUUCACAAGGAAAAAACUAACACAACACUCACUCUUUCACUCUCAUAGACCUCAUUCUUUAGCUUAUUGUCCAUCAAAUGACAGGGAAAUUGGUCUUCAACGUAUGCAAUUCCGAGAAGUCUGCAGUACUGCUACAAGCCAAGAACCGUUUUCAUCAGCUUCUCUGUCAGAUUCUCUUUUGGUGGAGAAGAUUUUACUGGGUCUGAAGCAAGGUAAUCUCAAUUCUUUGCGCAGUUAUCUGCUUCGAUUAAACCCAUUGCUUGUUGUUGAGGUUCUUAAUCGCUGCCGCGAAAAUUUGCAACUGGGUCUGAAAUUUAUUGAUUUAAUUGUGUUAAAUAGUCCGAAUUUUAAGCAUUCGUCGCAGUCUUUGAGUGCAAUGAUUCACUUGUUGGUGCGGGGUCGAAGGGUGUCGGAUGCACAAGCUUUGAUUCUUAGAAUGGUUAGGAAGAGUGGUGUUUCGCGUGUUGAAGUAGUUGACUCUUUGGUUUCAACUUAUAGCAAUUGUGGCUCAAGUUCUUUGGUCUUUGAUUUGUUGGUCAGAACUUAUGUGCAGGCUAGGAAGUUGAGAGAAGGGUUCGAGGUGUUUCAGCUGUUUAGAAGCAAGGGAUUUUGUGUUUCGAUAAAUGCUUGUAAUAGUCUUCUUGGUGGGCUUGUGAAGGUUGGGUGGGUCGAUUUGGCAUGGCAGGUAUAUGGGGAUGUUGUUAGCAGUGGGAUUCAGUUAAAUGUUUAUACACUCAAUAUUAUGGUUAAUGCCUUAUGUAAAGAUCGCAAAAUUGAUAGUGUUAAAUCGUUCUUAUCAGACAUGGAAGAGAAAGGGGUUUUUUCAGAUAUUGUGACAUAUAAUACACUAAUCAAUGCAUAUUGUCAGGAAGGGCUUUUAGAAGAAGCUUUUCAGUUAAAGAACUCUAUGUCUUGUAAAGGGCUGAGACCUGAGGUUUUCACGUACAAUGCUAUCAUAAAUGGUUUAUGUAAAGUAGGAAAUUAUGCAAGAGCGAAGGAAAUUUUGUAUGAGAUGUUGAACAAUGGAUUGAGUCCUGACACUACUACGUAUAAUACAUUGCUUGUUGAGAGCUGUAGAAAAGAUGAUAUUUCAGAGGCUGAGGGAAUUUUCAAUGAAAUGUCAUGUAGAGGUGUUAUUCCUGAUUUAGUUAGCUUCAGUUCACUUAUUGGGGUUUUUUCGAGGAAUGGACAUAUUGAUCAUGCUUUAGUAUAUUUUCGAGAUAUGAAAAAGGCAGGCUGGGUUCCAGAUAAUGUGAUCUAUACUAUCCUUAUACAUGGAUAUUGCAGAAAUGGAAUGAUGUUAGAAGCUUUGAAGUUGCGGGAUGAAAUGCUUGAGCAAGGUUGCGUUAUGGAUGUGGUCACGUUCAAUACUAUUUUAAAUGGGCUGUGUCGGGAGAAGAUGCUUUCUGAUGCAGAUGAGCUCUUCAAUGAGAUGGUGGAAAGGGGUGUCUUUCCUGAUUUUUAUACGUUCACAACACUCAUUCAUGGAUAUUCUAAGCACGGGAAUAUGACUAAAUCCCUAAAUCUGUUUGAGGCAAUGACUAAAAGAAAUAUCAAGCCUGACAUUGUCACAUACAACACAUUAAUCGAUGGUUUCUGCAAAGUAGGUGAAAUGGAUAAAGCUAAGGAGUUAUGGGCUGACAUGGUUUCUAGAAGGAUAUUACCCAAUCACAUUUCAUAUGGCAUUCUAAUCAAUGGAUUCUGUAGCACGGGACAUGUGCAUGAGGCAUUUAGGUUGUGGGACCAGAUGAUUGAAGAAGGUAUCAAACCGACUCUAGUUACUUGUAACACUGUCAUUAAAGGCUAUUGCCGCUCUGGCAACACAACAAAGGCAGAUGAGUUCUUAGGCAAAAUGGUUUCAAAAGGAAUUGUUCCUGAUAGUAUUACUUACAACACUCUGAUUAAUGGAUAUGUAAAAGAAGAGAAUCUGGACAGAGCUUUUUUUGUCGUUAAGGAGAUGGAAAACCAAGGAAUAUUGCCAGAUCUGUUUACAUACAAUAUAAUUCUAAAUGGGUUCUGUAGACAAGGUAGAAUGCACAAAGCUGAGCUAGUAUUGCGGAAGAUGAUUGAGAGAGGUGUAAAACCUGAUAGAGACACUUAUACGUCAUUGAUAAAUGGACAUGUGACCCAGGACAAUUUGAGGGAGGCAUUUCGGUUCCAUGAUGAAAUGCUGCAAAGGGGAUUUGUGCCAGAUGAUGAAUUCUAGUUUGUGUUUUUGCUCUUGCAACUGAAGAAAUAUGCAAUGCAACAUGCUUUUGAGACUUUGACGGGCCAAAUGAAUUCACGAAAUAACCUGUUCAACAAUGCUGCAUUAUCUCCUGGAUCACCUUCUCCAUUUUUAUCAGCUCCAGCCUCAGGGUCUUCCACCUCACCCUUUCCAGCUGCUUCUCUACCUUCUGUGACAGUAGAUGUAUCUGCAAGCAGAGUAGAUGCAAGCACCAGCUGCACCAGCCACACCAGCCACACCAGCUACACUAGUUACACCUGCCACUAAUGUCAAAAAUGAAAAAGAAGUAGAAAAAACGGAACAGUUUUGCUUUUGUAGAUAUUACUCCAGGGAAACUGAAUGAAAGAGCCCUUUCUAAAGUAGCCUAAAAGAUGUUUCCGAAAUAGGUUCAUCUAAGGGUGCCCAGAAUGACGUGGAGGUUUCUCAAAAUGGAGCUGCUUUGCUUUUAAGCACAAGGUAGAUGCUUCUGUCGGGUUCCAAUCUACUUGUAAGUAAAGAGUUAAUUGACACGUAGCGGCCCCUCGUUAUUGCAGUGCAUGCUUUUCUUUUAGAUUUAAUGUCAAUUUUUUGGUAGCUAAUUUUUAUGACAGAGACUAUCUUUUUCUAAAGACUGUUGAAGUGCAUAUGUUUCUUAACUUCAGACGCUCAACUUGGGAUAUUGAUUCUAGAGUUAGUUAUGUAAAGUGACAGACUUUUUCUCUGUUGUCUUGUGAGUGUAUUUGUUAUAGCAUUGGUAAGAUCAAAUAAGAAAUAAAAUUCUCUUUGUUGGGGCUGUUGCAAGCUUUUUAUUGUUUCGGCUUUGUAACAUCUAGUUUGGAGACGACA